CACACACACACACACACACACACACACACACCACUACCAUGACCACCAUGACCACCACUAUGACCAUGGCCACCACCAUGACCACAAGGACCACAACGACUACCACCACCACCACCAGACCACUACAGUCAUGACCACGACUACCACCACCACCAGACCAUCACAACCAUGACCACGACCACAACCACCGCCACCACCACCACCGGACUACCAUGACCAUGACCAAGAGCACGAUCACAACCAGCAGCAGCAGCAGCUGACACUCCUCUAAGUCUGCCACAAGGCCUGGAAUUCUUUUGAGAAUGAAGCUGAGGCAUGAGGAGGUAAAGUGAUUUGUCCAAGAACACACAAGGAAGCAUAAGAGAAAAGUGACUCACUGGGCUUCUUGAGGCAGGAGUAAGACAAUGACGUUCCCAGCUGAGCAGAGGAUCUUAGGUUGACUUUGUCCUGGAACAUGCACAAGUUUUGCUGGCUGCAAAACGAACAAUAUUCUCUAGGGGCUUCCAUGCUGUGUGAAGAAGCUUCCCAUUGAAGUCCAGUCCGUCCCCCUCAACUCAUCUUUCUUCCUCUUGCCCCUGUACGCACUUUUAUGUGCUUUGCUGCUUUGUCCCAGUGUUUUCAAAGCAACCUCCUUCUGUGUGCUUUUGUUAAACAUUCAGAAGAAAUUGUUGUAAGACCCCAUCAUAAAGGCACCUUCAGAACCAUUCUAGCAGCUUCCCAAUGUGUCAAAUAUGCAGACAUUUUCAUAGAGAGAACAAUACUUCAGAAAUAGUCAUGAACCUUGAUAUAUCUCAAGAGGCCUGCUUUGCAUGCAGAGAGCCCAUACUUUAACAGAAAAGUAGUCUCAACAUGGAUUGAAUAAUGGGACUAAAUUUCAUAUUGUAUAAGAGGGAAAGGCCAGAAUCAAUGGAAAAACUUGAAUUUGACAACCUAUCUCAGGAGAAGAGGAAAUGGAACCCCAGAUGACUUCGGGGAAUGGUGUGGAACUUUUCAGUCAAGCUCAAAAGGGAGCAGUUGGAAAACUGGAAGAGGUUCUUUGCUCCUGGAGCAGAGGGGAGAAGGAACUGACCCUCUGCUAUGAAGAUACCCAUUUUCUCAAUCCUUUUGCUUGAGCCGUAGAAGAGCUUAUAUUUCAACUGGUGACACUUUUAGGAUAAAGACUUUUGUCCCUUUGGAGAACCUCAGAGUUUAUCCUGAAGAAGACCCUGGUUCAAAUUCCCCAGAUCUGUACAGGAAAUAGCUAGGGAUUUCCUUUUUCCUCUGUCCUCAUUACUCUUUCAACCCUUUAUACCUAAAUAAAUAGAUAAAUCUUGAUUUUAA